GGUCUGGGGAAACCUAAUUUCAUCAACAGUAUUCAGUCAAAAGAUUCCGUGGUGCCGCGUACUGUCCGUCUGACUAUCAAAACAACACUAAUCUAGACAGACCCGAUAUGACGAAGAUUUAUACUGUUUGUGGUAUAUAUCUUGGCUGUGCGUGUUUAGGCAUUGUAACAAUUGCCAUUUUCCUAGAUAAGAUAGAUCAUGAGACAGACGGUAGUCAAAUGAGCACCAAACAGCUUCUGGGGGCAAUAGCUCGACACUUUUACAAUUCCAAGUAUCAAAAGCUAUUAAUACCACUGACCAUGUACAGCGGAAUUGAAUCAGCUUUCAUUGCAGGUGACUAUACAAGGUCAUUCAUCAGUUGUUCUAUGGGAGUAUGGAACGUUGGGUAUGUCAUGAUUGCAUAUGGUGUGGCUGACGCAGCUUGCUCGUUGAUCAUAGGGAGGCUGGUAAAAUACACUGGAUUCCUUCCCUGGUUUAUCUUAACGUUCGUACUACAUGGAGGGACACUGAUAACUUUGUUGGUGUGGAAGCCCAACCCUGAUUAUCCCAUUCUGUUCUAUUUGUUUGCAAUAUUCUGGGGUAUAGGAGAUGCAGUCAUACAGACGCUUGUAAAUGCCUUGUAUGGUUAUUUAUUUACACACAAGCCCGAGUCAGCUUUUGCCAGCUAUAGAUUGUGUGAGUCAGCGGGAUUUAUCAUAGCUUUUGGCUACAGCAGUUUUAUAUGUACAGACAUCAAGAUCUACGUGUGUCUGAUUUUUGUUACUGUAGGAACUUUGUUGUAUUGUGUGGUAGAGGCGAUGCAAAGGAAACAAACAAAAUACAAAGUGGAUAUCUGAAUCAGUGAUCAGUAUAUAUUUUGAGGACUUGUAUCCAAUUUUAUGACAAAUAUAAAACAAAAUGUUUAAGGAAAUAGUAUCAGUUUUUUUUCUGUCGUAAAAAGUGCAACAUUCAGUAUCACACAAAGCAUCGUCAUAGAAUAUUUUUUACAAUGACUAUAUGUUAUAAGUUUAGUAUGCAAAAACGCCAUUUUCACCUAUCCAUUUUUAAAGAUGGUUAACCAGAUUCUUUCCAGCUUUGACGGUGGAGGAAGACCCAAGGUGCCCCUCCGUGCAUUCUUUCAACACGAGUGGGCACCUGGGUAGAACCACCGACCUUCCGUAAGCCCACUGGAUGGCUUCCUCACAUGAAGAAUUCAACGCCCCGAGGGAAGCUCGAACCCACAUCGAUAAGGGGCAAGUGAUUUGAAGUCAGCGACCUUAACCAGUUGACCACGGAGUCCCCGUAGAUUAUUUUAGCAAGUGUGUAAAUUUAAUAAGCAUACUUUCUCUAAGAAAUCAUAUGAAUAUAAGAACUACUGUAUUGUAAUUGUCAAAUGUUUACGUUUACAAAUAAAUACUGCCAAUUUCAGAAAAGCUCGCCGAAUGGGCGUUUACAUCAAACGCAGGUAGUAAAUGACGUAGCUGCCACUGUAUUGAUCGCUUGUGCUCAAGUUCUUCUUAAAACUAGAAACGCUAAACUACGGAAGCAGGAGUUAAGGUUACAAAACGCAAUCUUUAAUGUUUACAAACAUGAUGUUUACAAAAACGAACUGUAUAUAGUCUUCGUAUUAUAUCCAAGGAUGUCAGUCAUGGAUUUUUUUUUUCAAACGUGGAAAAUACCGCUUAUUAUCGAUGUUGUCUUCCGCAUUGAACUAUAAGGUUCGUUUACCCAUUUUGCUUUCAAUUGUGAAAAAACAAACUCGGCAAUAUUUAUUUAAAACUACAUGCAGUAUCUUGUCAAAAUACAACUGAAAGUUUUGUCCCUAGAAUCGUGAACGUCUGGUAAUACCUAGUACAUGUUUGUAUAAUGCCUUUCUUCUGUUUCAACCUUUAGCCUGAUUGUGGCAAGUGCUUCUGUCUUUGCGACCAGUGCAGACCAAUAUCAGCAUGCACGUCCGUGCAGUCUGAUCAUGGUCUGUACGCUUCGCCAUUCAAUCAGUAUCUUUUUUGUAAGUACCCCUUUUAACAGUUAAUGUUACUGUCCAAAUUGAAAGAUGAGAUGGACAAAUUCAUUAUAGAAAUUUAGCAGGUUAAAGGUUUAGAGCGCAACUUGUUGCAUUUCGUUCUUGUUACAUAGAGAAUAGAAACCUAAGAUCAUGCACUAGACUUUGUAAUAAAAACUUUAUUGUCCAGUU
rnacentral:misc_RNA from 1 species